GUGCUCACUUCAGCAGCACAUAUACUAAAAUUGGAAUGAUAUAGAGAAGAUUAGCAUGGCUCCUGCACAAAGGUGACAUGGAAAUUUGUGAAGACUUCCACAUUUUU
rnacentral:snRNA from 1 species